AUUGAACGCUGGCGGCAGGCCUAACACAUGCAAGUCGAGCGGAUGAAGAGAGCUUGCUCUCUGAUUUAGCGGCGGACGGGUGAGUAAUGCCUAGGAAUCUGCCUGGUAGCGGGGGAUAACGUCCGGAAACGGGCGCUAAUACCGCAUACGUCCUACGGGAGAAAGCAGGGGACCUUCGGGCCUUGCGCUAUCAGAUGAGCCUAGGUCGGAUUAGCUAGUUGGUGAGGUAAUGGCUCACCAAGGCUACGAUCCGUAACUGGUCUGAGAGGAUGAUCAGGCACACUGGAACGGAGACACGGUCCAGACUCCUACGGGAGGCAGCAGUGGGGAAUAUUGGACAAUGGGCGAAAGCCUGAUCCAGCCAUGCCGCGUGUGUGAAGAAGGUCUUCGGAUUGUAAAGCACUUUAAGUUGGGAGGAAGGGCAGUAAGUUAAUACCUUGCUGUUUUGACGUUACCGACAGAAUAAGCACCGGCUAACUUCGUGCCAGCAGCCGCGGUAAAAC
rnacentral:rRNA from 1 species